rnacentral:lncRNA from 1 species
GAAUACACACAACAAUAUGAAUCUUAAGAACAUUCAUUUUUUUUGUAGUGAUGAAUACACAAGAAUAUGAAUCUCAAGAACAGUUUUUCUUGAUUUUAAGAACAAGAACAUCACAUUCACAAACCCAUAAAUCAUUCAUGAACCUAGAAAUCACAUUCACGAACCCAAAAAUCGUUUUUUCCUGAUUUUUCAGAAACCAUUCACGAACCCAAAAAUCAUUUUUUUCGGAUUUGAUGAACUGCCCUUCACCACCACCUAAAUAGAUUUUUGCUAUGAAACCUUAACCUAAUAUUGAUCUGAAUCGAUUUCUUAUUUGAAUUGAUUUCAAGCCCGAGGUGGUCAGAUGAAUGUUCACACACACCUGCAGAUCCGACAUUGUAACAGAUAAGAAACACACAAAUGCUAGCUGACAAAAGCAUAGAGGUAAUGCAUUGAUUUUGAACUGAAAUUGGAACUGGAAUCUGGAGGUCGUUUUCUCAAAGAAGAGGGAAAAGCUGAAGAACGGUUUUAAUCCAUCGAUUUUAAUUAUUUAAACUGAUUUCCAACUAACCUUGAUGAAGAAGACGAAAAGCUUCUCACCAUUUCGUUCAAGGCAUCUUGGUGGGUUGUGGGUGUUUAUGGUUACUGGAAUAAGACAGUAGUGUAUAGUACAGGUGACUGGGAACUAGCGGGGUUACACAAUGCAAUUUAUUGACCGAACCGAAGAAGGAAAAGGGAACAUAAGUAAAUGCGAACGGAACUAUAUGUUGUGACGAGCGGAAGCAGCGAGGCUGCUGGUGGUCUCGGUGGGUGCAGCACGGGGCUGAUCAAGCAUCUUCUCGACUACUUGCUUCUGCUCCGACGAUGGAUCAAGAAGGGAAAGGGGAAUGUUGGUCUGAGAGGAUCAAGGAAGCAAC